rnacentral:rRNA from 1 species
UACGUAGGAUGCUAGCGUUGUCCGGAUUUACUGGGCGUAAAGAGCUCGUAGGCGGUUUGUCGCGUCUGCUGUGAAAACCUAAGGCUCAACCUUGGGCUUGCAGUGGGUACGGGCAGACUAGAGUGCGGUAGGGGUGACUGGAAUUCCUGGUGUAGCGGUGGAAUGCGCAGAUAUCAGGAGGAACACCGGUGGCGAAGGCGGGUCUCUGGGCCGUAACUGACGCUGAGGAGCGAAAGCGUGGGGAGCGAACAGG